rnacentral:rRNA from 1 species
UACGUAGGGGCAAGCGUUGUCCGGAUUUACUGGGCGUAAAGCGCGCGUAGGCGGCUAAUUAAGUCAAAUGUGAAAUCCCCGAGCUUAACUUGGGAAUUGCAUUCGAUACUGGUUAGCUAGAGUGUGGGAGAGGAUGGUAGAAUUCCAGGUGUAGCGGUGAAAUGCGUAGAGAUCUGGAGGAAUACCGAUGGCGAAGGCAGCCAUCUGGCCUAACACUGACGCUGAGGUGCGAAAGCAUGGGGAGCAAACAGG